GAUGAGAACGUAGUGAAAUGCGAUACUUGGUGUGAAUUGCAGAAUCCCGUGAACCAUCGAGUCUUUGAACGCAAGUUGCGCCCGAAGCCAUUAGGCCGAGGGCACGCCUGCCUGGGUGUCACACACCGUUACCCUCGCGCCAACGUCCAUCGUUGGCCGCGGCGCGGGGCGUGCGCUGACCUCCCGCGAGCGGGGUCUCGUGGUUGGUUGAAAAUCGAGUUCGCGGUCGAGGGUGCCGUGAUGAAAUGGUGGAUGGGCGACGCCCGAGGCCAAUCACGCGCGACUCUGUCCGGCUCGGACUCCUGGACCCCUUCGGCGUCUCCGGACGCUCUUUGGCGAGACCUCAGGUCAGGCGGGGCUACCCGCUGAGUUUAAGCAUAUCAAAAGCGGAGGA
rnacentral:misc_RNA from 1 species